rnacentral:rRNA from 1 species
CCUACGGGUGGCAGCAGUGAGGAAUAUUGGUCAAUGGACGAGAGUCUGAACCAGCCAAGUAGCGUGAAGGAUGACUGCCCUGUGGGUUGUAAACUUCUUUUAUAUGGGAAUAAAAUGUUCCACGUGUGGGAUUUUGUAUGUACCAUAUGAAUAAGGAUCGGCUAACUCCGUGCCAGCAGCCGCGGUAAUACGGAGGAUCCGAGCGUUAUCCGGAUUUAUUGGGUUUAAAGGGAGCGUAAGUGGAUUGUUAAGUCAGUUGUGAAAGUUUGCGGCUCAACCGUAAAAUUGCAGUUGAAACUGGCAGUCUUGAGUACAGUAGAGGUGGGCGGAAUUCGUGGUGUAGCGGUGAAAUGCUUAGAUAUCACGAAGAACUCCGAUUGCGAAGGCAGUUCACUGGACUGCAACUGACACUGAGGCUCGAAAGUGUGGGUAUCAAACAGGAUUAGAUACCCUUGUAGUC